CAAAAGUACAGUACUGCUGUUGGAAGAAGAGUAUCUAUGGUCCACCAUCACUUCAAGCAUCAUGGCUAUGGAUAAAAGAAGGUUUCAUUACAUAUGGACAGUUAUAUUGGACAAAAUAAGAAAAGUGUUCUAAUAAGUUCUGGAAUGUGGCUGGUUAUGAUGGGUCUACAUGAUUGACUUGGAGUACAACCUGAUGGAGGCCGGGCUUGCAGAUUUCAGUCCUGAACAUGUUUAGAAUGUCUUCUGCAUGACCUAGUAUAGUAUGCUUGAAGGAUUAUAUCUUCAACAAAGAGACGGAGAUUAAUAUUUUAGACAGUGGAUUGACAUGACAGGCAAAUUCUCCAACCGCUGGAUGCCAGUCGACAGUGGCACCUGUAUAAUGAAAUAGCGCCCCAACAGCAAUGUAUGCUCAAAACCAGCAGUGUCAAAGCCAUUAAAAUUGAGAACUCAAGAAUGAAUGGAAAAAAGUGUUUAACAUUUAAAUUAAUACAGAGAAAGAGCUCAGCUCUUUUGGUAUUUUCUGAAAUUUUAAUUAAUUUGGAAGUGUUUUUGAUUUUUUAAAGAUGUAUUUGACCCAAAUUCAAUAUAUUUACAUAUGAACAAAUGCUACAUAUAGUUAUGUAAACAUUGAAUUAACAAGUUUAUGGUGUCAGCAGUACUAUGCAUUGGUUAAAUAUAGACACACUGUAUGUAUGUAAGGCUGAACAAGGUAAAAAUGUGAAAUUCCUCUAAGACACUGGAAGAUUUUUCAACAAUCUACUGUUUAGUACUGCAUGACAUAAAAUUAUGAAUGGAGCUGAACAUACACAGUUGAUUUAUACAUAAGCAAAGUUAAAUAUAUUUAAAGAUGAGUUUCUACAUUUGAAGUAAUUACCUAAAUAUUAAAUAUUUUAGUGAAGAUAUAUUUUAUGCAAUUAUAUAAGUUGAAAAAAGCUACCCUCCAGGAAGAAUAUUUUGAAAUGAUACUUUUACUUGAAAAUUUAUGUGAAAAAUGAAGGAAGUAGAUGUUAAAAUGAAUUCGUUUUUUUAUAAAAAAAAUGUUGUUGCCAUGGAAACAGAACUUGAGUAUUAAGUUUAUCUGCUUUCAUACCAGAGUAAUAUGACUUUUAAUUAUAAUUAUGUAAACAAUUUAAUGUUAUAUAAUCAUCACUGAUACUUUUAAUUUUCAAUUGACACUGUCAUUUAGCAAUGCAUCUUACAUUUGAAGUUGAAUGACACAUUACAAAUAUUAGAUAUUUAUGGAAUUGCUUUUAGAUAUUUUUGAGAUGAAUAUAAAUCAGAAAAAUCACAAAUUCUUGUUCUUCUAGAGAACUUAUAUAUAUUUUAUAAACUUACAU